rnacentral:lncRNA from 1 species
CGUCCCGUGUAUGGAUAGUAAUCAAGUAAAAACGUUUUCGUUGUUCUGAUUAUUCAUUCUCUUUUUAGUUUGUUUGAGCCCUUUGUGUUGAUAACUGUAACAAUAAAACGUUGUUUUAUAUCUAGUUUAAUAAAAAUAGAGUAUAUAUAACUGAUAUUACUGGUCCUAUAAUCUUAUUUUAAAGAAAUAUACUUUAUCAAUUGUUUUGUGAUUAUAUUACACUUCGAAGUGUGAGUUUUACAGAGAGAGUAACAAUGACAUCACCUGUAACAAAAUUUAAUUUCACCCAACAGCAACAAACUCCUGUAUUUAUCGGCUCAGAAUUUUACAAUGUAUA